GUUUUACUCCAUGCCUCUGAAUUCUCUGUGACGUUGAUGUAUUCAUUUUAUAUCAGUCCCAACGUUCAUCCAAUUCUCAUCCAUAACAAUCCCCCAGACCACACAGCCCUUUCACUUUUCCAAAUUCCUAGGUGAUUUAUGGUUUAUGUGACAUGAGCUGGCCGGUGUUUGAGAACAGUUGUACCAAUGGCUGUCCUGUACCGAACGUCCUCAAGGAGUCAAACGCUUCACAAGCAGUAUUUUACUUACUCUUCUCAAGGCCUGGGAAAACAAUUGUUACCAGAGGAAAGAAUUCUAAUUCUCAUGGAGCAAAACCUGUGACCUGGCUCUGCUGAGCUGCAAUGGAAGCUGGGAAAAGGGAGUAUCUCACUCAACCUGGUUCUGUGGCUUCCAAACAAACCUGCUUUGACAAUCAAGGAGGAAAGGAAUCAUGAAUAUUGGCUGGGACUGUAGAGAACACUAUCUAUCUAUCAAGGCUGACAAGUCAAUUGUGAGAAUCAUUCCACCAGGUCUCUAUAAAAAUAUCCGGUGUGAGAACUUUUCAAAGAGAAUUCUUCAAAACUCAAAUCAGCCUGAGGAUCUGGGUCAUGGUGUUUGGGUGACGCGGAGAGGAAGCAGGGAGAGAGGCUGUGGGGAGAGGCCCUGCCCAACAGCCCAGGGAGCUUCCGCUGUUGUUCUGCGCCCUUCCCACGACCUGCUCCGACGAACUGCACAAACUUGAGUCCGUUGGCCUUUCGGGGGUCUCAGUUUUCACAGCAAUAAAUGCGGGGCGGGGGGAAUAAAAAUAAAUAAA
rnacentral:lncRNA from 12 species